GCUGUGGUAUGUGCCGCUCCUGUCCAACUUUUGCUCUUAUCUACUCCUACACAGUAAACUGCUCAGUGGUUAUAACUGCAUGAAGUGAUUACAUAGAUUAGAAUGGAACUGAUUGUCGGUGCUUGAUGAGGUUGGAGGAAGUGAGGACGGGUAUUACGAGGUUGUUGGAGGGAUAAUUCCGACUCCUCUUGUAGUGAAGGAUACUAGAUAAGUGAAAACAUGUGGUAUAUUGCUUGGUUUUGCUGGACAUCAGAGAAAAGUUGAAAAAUAUACAGGUUAUGGCUGUUUUUUCCUCCUAGCUGAUGACAAAUUUUGAGAAGUUGGAUAGAUAAAAACAAGUAUUUUUCAUUUUGAGGUCUCGGAAUCAAGGUUUAGACUCCAUUACUCGAGUCAGAGUCUUCAUGGACUUGUAUUUUGAUAAAGUCUUUUCUAUUAAUCCAAUUAAGAUGUCCUUUUUGGCUUGCAUAACCCCAUAUUCCAGAAUGCUCCACAUAUAUACCGUUCUCAUAUGGCAUGUCAGGCUGAUCCUUACCUGAAGAACAAAAAAAACCAAAUUUUUACCUCCGCCUAUGUUUGAGUUAUACUGUAACACAGCCGGUCUUUCCUAUUUAGUAGUAAUAGCUUUACUACAAAUUUCCCUAAUCGCUUCCAUUGUUUUCUUUUGUGAAUUGCAGUUAAUUAGGUGCUUUCUGGUUCCAUUAAAGCGGAAAAUAUUGAAGCCAUAUAUCACACUUUUAAGGACUCUGCUUUUAUUAGUAAACCAGCUGGAGGAACUUUACAGUUCUAAAUUGCGGGGGGUUAAAGCCUUCUUUUGAUUUUGUUUCUCACCGUGUUAGCCGCAUAUAGGUGCUUUUGAUGUCUAUCUUUUUAUAUAAAGUGGUCAACGCCUCGUUUCAAGUUACCAGUUAGUUAGUCUAUAUAUACAUUGAUGUGAACUGAGCAUGUUCAGCGAUCCUUUUAGACCUACCUUUUUGCAAAAUUCAAGUCUGCUCUAUGACUAUUUUUUUGGCAUCCUGCAUAAAAAAAUAAAAAAAUAUAGCUACUUAUUCUAAUAGGGUAUUAAGAUGUUAAAUGCAAGGAUAGUUGUUAGCGGCUUGUUAGGACAUUGAAGAGGGCUAUUGUUCUCAUAGGUGUUGAAAUACAGGUGGAUCUAAUUGCAGCCAUGUAAAUCGAUAAAUUAGUGUUCCAUGUGUUGUCACAAUUUGUUGACUUGCAUUUUUCAAAAGUGAUCAGGCAUAAUGAUAACUUGGUUUUGAGUUGUGUUGAAAUUUCUUUCUUUUAGAUGUGAAUUCUUUUAAUUUCGCUGCUGAAAGUGAGAAGAGUCUAUUCCAAUAGUGUGUUUUCUCUUGUAAUAAAAUUUAGACUUAUUUUCGUGU